rnacentral:rRNA from 1 species
UACGGGGGGAGCAAGCGUUGUUCGGAUUUACUGGGCGUAAAGGGCGCGUAGGCGGCUUUGCAAGUGGCGGGUGAAAUCCCUCGGCUUAACCGAGGAACUGCCUGUCAAACUGCAUGGCUUGAGACCGGGAGAGGUGAGUGGAAUUCCACGUGUAGCAGUGAAAUGCGUAGAGAUGUGGAGGAACACCGAUGGCGAAGGCAGCCCCCUGGGUCAAGAUUGACGCUCAUGCACGAAAGCGUGGGGAGCAAACAGG